rnacentral:rRNA from 1 species
GGGAGGUAGUGACAAUAAAUAACAAUACAGGGCCCUUACGGGUCUUGUAAUUGGAAUGAGUACAAUUUAAAUCUCUUAACGAGGAACAAUUGGAGGGCAAGUCUGGUGCCAGCAGCCGCGGUAAUUCCAGCUCCAAUAGCGUAUAUUAAAGUUGUUGCAGUUAAAAAGCUCGUAGUUGAAUUUUGGGUCUGGCCGGGCGGUCCGCCCUCUGGGUGAGCACUGUUCCGACGCCGGGCCUAUCCUUCUGGUGAGUCGGCAUGUCCUUUGUUGGGUGUGUCGGGGAACCAGGACCAUUACCUUGAAAAAAUUAGAGUGUUCAAAGCAGGCGUAUGCUCGGAUACAUUAGCAUGGAAUAAUGAAAUAGGACGCGUGGUGCUAUUUUGUUGGUUUCUAGAACCGCUGUAAUGAUUAAUAGGGAUAGUUGGG